rnacentral:rRNA from 1 species
AGCAGCCGCGGUAAUUCCAGCUCCAAUAGCGUAUAUUAAAGUUGUUGCAGUUAAAAAGCUCGUAGUUGAAUUUCGGGAUCAAUUAAUUGGUCGUGCCUCUGGUACGUACUGGUUUUAUUGGUUUCUCCCUUCUGACGAACCAUGAUGUCAUUAAUUUGGUGUCGUGGAGAAUCAGGACUGUUACUUUGAAAAAUUAGAGUGUUUAAAGCAAGCUAACGCUUGAAUACAUUAGCAUGGAAUAAUGAAAUAGGACGUUUGAUCCUAUUUUGUUGGUUUCUAGGAUCGACGUAAUGAUUAAUAGGGAUAGUUGGGGGCAUUAGUAUUCAAUUGUCAGAGGUGAAAUUCUUGGAUUUAUUGUAAGACUAACUACUGCGAAAGCAUUUGCCAAGGAUGUUUUCAUUAAUCAAGAACGAAAGUUAGGGGAUCGAAGACGAUCAGAUACCGUCGUAGUCUUAACCAUAAACCUAAUGCCGACUAGGGAUCGGAUGAUGUUAAUUUUUAAUGUACUCA